rnacentral:sRNA from 1 species
UUCCUGGGCGGCUUCUUUGUGAACAAGCUCAGGCUCCGGGGCUCCGCGGUCAUCAAGUUCUGCCUGUUCUGCACCGUUGUCAGCCUGCUGGGCAUCCUCGUCUUCUCCCUGCACUGCCCCAGUGUGCCCAUGGCGGGCGUCACAGCCAGCUACGGCGGGAGCCUCCUGCCUGAAGGCCACCUGAACCUAACGGCUCCCUGCAACGCUGCCUGCAGCUGCCAGCCAGAGCACUACAGCCCUGUGUGCGGCUCGGAUGGCCUCAUGUACUUCUCACUGUGCCACGCAGGAUGCCCUGCAGCCACAGAGACGAAUGUGGACGGCCAGAAGGUGUACCGAGACUGUAGCUGUGUCCCUCAGAAUCUUUCCUCUGGUUUUGGCCAUGCCACUGCAGGGAAAUGCACUUCAACUUGUCAGAGAAAGCCCCUCCUUCUGGUUUUCAUAUUCGUUGUAAUUUUCUUUACAUUCCUCAGCAGCAUUCCUGCACUAACGGCAACUCUACGAUGUGUCCGUGACCCUCAGAGAUCCUUUGCCCUGGGAAUCCAGUGGAUUGUAGUUAGAAUACUAGGGGGCAUCCCGGGGCCCAUCGCCUUCGGCUGGGUGAUCGACAAGGCCUGUCUGCUGUGGCAGGACCAGUGUGGCCAGCAGGGCUCCUGCUUGGUGUACCAGAACUCGGCCAUGAGCCGCUACAUACUCAUCAUGGGGCUCCUGUACAAGUUUCAGUUACCCGAGGUCACCCACAGUCUGAAUGUAUUAAAUAGGAAAUUCCAGCAGCAAAGAGUUCAUAACUUUUAAAGCAUGCGCCGUUCUGCACCGUCUGGUGAAGUCUUGGUCCUGCCCAGGACUCGGAUUCUCACUUUGUCCAACUUUGGAAGAAGGCAAGAUCGGAAAUUAUUCUGCAGGGAGCUUUGGGGAUAUUGGAUACUAAGGCUCAAGCCCUCUGUGAUACGCCUUUCGCUUUGGCAUAAAAUAACGGAUGACUC